rnacentral:lncRNA from 1 species
UCUCUAGACAAAUGAAUUUAAUUGAGAGGGCAGUCAGCUCUCCAUUUCUGAGGGUUCAUGCAGAUAUGGAGGGCCCACUAAAGGCCAUGAACAUCAGCAGAUUUUGGUAUGAUGCAGUGAGAGUGUCCUGGAACUAUCUCCCACAGAUACUGCGGGAAGACUAUAACUGUUUCUAUAAUAUCGUUUUGUCUUCAAAGACUCCUAGCAUAAUAUCUAUGGUGAAGACUAGAAAGCUGCUUUAUAUUCCUUGUCAAUAGCUUCUCUGGUGAAAUGAAACUGAGAAAGGGAAAAGACCACAUGGUUAAAAGGCAGGGGAGUGGUGGGCAGGUUGUAUGUAGUGCAAAACAAAUAAUAAUGAAAGAAAAAAAUUUCAUCCAGCUACCUACUUAUACUAAAUGCUAGACAACAUAUGGUGUUAAAUCAUUUUAGUUCUAGAAAAAAAAAUCCACAUGCAAUAAUUUUAAAAUGUUAAACAAAGAAUAUAGGAGGCCAUUAUAUUAAUUUUUUAUCUCUAAUUUGGACUCAGUCCUUGUUUACACCAGUGAAUUAAUGAGUAAAACUCAAUAUCUUCUUCAAUGUAGGUUCCUUCUUUCUAAUGGGAAUAUGUCAUGAAGAGUACCCCAUGUGUUACUUUUGAAAGGAGGAUUGGGAAAGGCACAAGGGAUUAUCUGGGGUACUCAAAAUGAGAGAUUUGCUGACCUUAGUAGUUGAUGGCUUUUGGUCAUUCUGCCUGGAGUAAAUGGCAUCUCAUUUUGGUUUUAAUUUGCAUUUCUCUGAUGAUUAAUGAUGUUUAGCAUUUUUUCAUAUGUUUAUCGGCCAUUUGUGUAUCUUCUUUUGAGGAGUGCCUAUUUAUGUCUUUUUGCCACUCUUUAAUGAAAUUAUUUGUUUUCUUCCUGCUGAUUUGUUCAAGUUC